rnacentral:rRNA from 1 species
UACGGGAGGGCAGCAGUGGGGAAUAUUGCACAAUGGGCGCAAGCCUGAUGCAGCCAUGCCGCGUGUAUGAAGAAGGCCUUCGGGUUGUAAAGUACUUUCAGUCGUGAGGAAGGUGUUAAGGUUAAUAACCUUAGCAAUUGACGUUAGCGACAGAAGAAGCACCGGCUAACUCCGUGCCAGCAGCCGCGGUAAUACGGAGGGUGCGAGCGUUAAUCGGAAUUACUGGGCGUAAAGGGCACGCAGGCGGUUAAUUAAGUUGGAUGUGAAAUCCCCGGGCUUAACCUGGGAAUGGCAUUCAAGACUGGUUAGCUAGAGUCUUGUAGAGGGGGUAGAAUUCCAUGUGUAGCGGUGAAAUGCGUAGAGAUGUGGAGGAAUACCGGUGGCGAAGGCGGCCCCUGGACAAAGACUGACGCUCAUGUGCGAAAGCGUGGGGAGCAAACAGGGAUUAGAUACCC